UACGUAGGUGACCAGCGUUGUCCGGAUUUACUGGGCGUAAAGAGCGCGCAGGCGGUCGUUCAAGUCGAGUGUGAAAGCCCCCGGCUCAACUGGGGAGGGUCAUUCGAUACUGAUCGACUGGAAGGCAGGAGAGGGAAGCGGAAUUCCCGGUGUAGUGGUGAAAUGCGUAGAUAUCGGGAGGAACACCAGUGGCGAAGGCGGCUUCCUGGCCUGUUCUUGACGCUGAGGCGCGAAAAGCUAGGGGGAGCAAACGGGG
rnacentral:rRNA from 1 species